GACGAACGCUGGCGGCGUGCUUAACACAUGCAAGUCGAACGGAAAGGCCCUGCUUUUGUGGGGUGCUCGAGUGGCGAACGGGUGAGUAACACGUGAGUAACCUGCCCUUGACUUUGGGAUAACUUCAGGAAACUGGGGCUAAUACCGGAUAGGAGCUCCUGCUGCAUGGUGGGGGUUGGAAAGUUUCGGCGGUUGGGGAUGGACUCGCGGCUUAUCAGCUUGUUGGUGGGGUAGUGGCUUACCAAGGCUAUGACGGGUAGCCGGCCUGAGAGGGUGAACGGCCACAUUGGGACUGAGGGACGGCCCAGACGCCUACCGUAGGCAGCAGGGGGGAGUAUGGCAGAACGGGCGGAAGCCAGAUGCAGCAACCCCGCGUGCGGGAUGACCGCCUUCGGGUUGUAAACCGCUUUCGCCGGUGACGAAGCGUGAGUGACGGUAAUGGGUAAAGAAGCACCGGCUAACUACGUG
rnacentral:rRNA from 1 species